ACGCACGCUGGCGGCGUGCUUCACACAUGCAAGUCGAACGGAAAGGCCCCUUUGGGGGUCCUCGAGUGGCGAACGGGUGAGUAACACGUGAGUAACCUGCCCUUGACUUCGGGAUAACUUCAGGAAACUGGGGCUAAUACCGGAUAGGAAUCCUUGCUGCAUGGUGGGGGUUGGAAAGCUUCGGCGGUUUUGGAUGGACUCGCGGCUUAUCAGCUUGUUGGUGGGGUAGUGGCUUACCAAGGCUUUGACGGGUAGCCGGCCUGAGAGGGCGACCGGCCACAUUGGGACUGAGAUACGGCCCAGACUCCUACGGGAGGCAGCAGUGGGGAAUAUUGCACAAUGGGCGGAAGCCUGAUGCAGCAACGCCGCGUGCGGGAGGACGGCCUUCGGGUUGUAAACCGCUUUCAGCAGGGGCGAAGCUUGUGGUGACGGUACCUGCAGAAGAAGCACCGGCUAACUACGUG
rnacentral:rRNA from 1 species